UUACAGAGACACAGUGGCUUUGUACUA
rnacentral:piRNA from 1 species